rnacentral:rRNA from 1 species
UACGGGGGGAGCAAGCGUUGUUCGGAUUUACUGGGCGUAAAGGGCGCGUAGGCGGCCACCGCAAGUCGACUGUGAAAUCUCCGGGCUUAACCCGGAAAGGUCAGCCGAUACUGCGGGGCUAGAGUGCAGAAGGGGCAACUGGAAUUCUCGGUGUAGCGGUGAAAUGCGUAGAUAUCGAGAGGAACACCGGCGGCGAAGGCGGGUUGCUGGGCCGACACUGACGCUGAGGCGCGAAAGCCAGGGGAGCGAACGGG